rnacentral:lncRNA from 1 species
GCAUACUUCUGCUUGUUCUCUGGCACUUGCUAUCAGUACAAGAAGAAUUUCCUCUGGGUAGUGGCUGCUACUUGUUGUGAGUCUGGGGGAAACACUAUUGGAGGUGACAAGAGUCCAAACUGCAAUGAUGUGCCACAUUCACCCAGCUGCAUCUGAACUGAAGCAGGGCCCCAGCCAAGCCUUGCCUGAGAUCAGCAGACCCUCGAUGACCCACAAAAAUUAUCUGCUUAGGACACAGAAGUCAAUUACACCCAAACCCUGGAUGGAAUCAGAAUCAGAAUCAGCCAUGCAAUGAGGAAGAAGAAAUGUAAGUUGCGGCCUGUGAUUCCAACAGUUCUCUUUCUGGAAUGGCUACCAAGAGAAAGUGUCCUGCAAAUCACAGUGUCCAACAGAAUCAACACUGCUAAACACACUCCCACUGGAGUACGGAGAAAGGGGAUCCACAGAAGAGCCUAAUCCUGAACCACUUCCAUGUAUUUGCCCAUCCAUUUCUCCUCUCUGGCCAAUACUCUUCAUAUUCAAAUUCUACCAGUCCUUCAAAGAUCAGAUUAAGUUCCAAAAUUUCAAAAGCCUUCUCAGCCUACUCUUACAGCUGAAUAGUGCAUACCAACUUCAAUUAAUUAUAAACUCAUGUUUCAUUUUGUAUUAUUUAAUAGAAACAUUGGAAUUUAAUCUUUGUGUUUUUUACAUUUUGUUUUCUCCACUAGAUUACCAACUUGAUGACAUGAACCACUUAUUAGAAUUCUUUUGUAGCUUGUAACUGUAUUAGGCACAGUUUCUUGAAGAAAUUAAGCACAUAUUUACAUGUUUUAAAUAACUUUGUAUUGAUUUGCAUAUGUAUGAAGGAGGUAUGUCAUACUUGGCUUUAGAAAAAAGUCUCGUCUAAUAUUCAAGGAACCAGUCUGUGACCUUUGUUUAUUAUGUAAUUUUUUGAAACACAAUCUAUAUUUACAAUCCUAUUAGCUGUUACUGGAUAUAUAUUUAUGGAAGAAUAUAACACUACUUCUUCUUUAUUACAUACAAUUUGGAUACUCUUCUGCCUUCGCCAUUAACUAUACAUUAAGACAGUUCACAUAACUUUAUUUUUUAUUUUCUGUUUUUUUUUAGAGAUGGAGGUCUAACUAUGUUGCCCAGGCUGGCCUCGAACUCCUGGGCUCAAGUAAUCCUUCACCUCAGUCUCUCAAGUUGCAGGGAUUACUGGCUUGAGCCACUGUGCCUGGCAGUUUACACAACUUUAAUUGCUGGUUUAUGUAUAAAUUUCCUUCUAUAAUCUAGUCAGAAUCUAGUCAACCUACUACUGCAUAAAAAUUUGCUGAAUAUCUCCCAAGAGCUAGCCCUCAUAAAGGGUUUUAAGGCUCUCAAUAAGCUUAAUAUACAGAAAUAAACUGCAUUGGCUGUAUAUUUGCACAAAAGUUGUAAACUUGGCUGCUGCAGAGCAAUUUAUGUACAUACGGUACCUGUUUCUUUGGCUGUCCUUUUUUUGUGUAACAAUUACUAAUAUACAUUCCCUUUUAUCUAAAAAAAUCCCUAUGUACUAAUGAAACCUCUGCCAGAGGAUAUAAGGAACACGAAAAUAGUAUAAGACACAUUUCUUGUGCCUGAUGAAUUUACACCCUUGUCAGGAAGAUAAACAUAUGUAUAAAUUGUACCUACAGAAAAUACAUAAUAUAGUGUGAUCAGACUGAAUGACUUGGUAACUGAGAAAAAUAAAAAUAAACUGAAUAGGAAAAAAUGUCCUAAGCAUUGCAUUUAAAUAUCAUACCUGGAUUAGGACUCAUUUUAUGGGCAUAUAUCAGUGCAAGUAGAGAACAAAGUGAUACAUCUUGUUUAUUUUUAAUAGCCUCAAAUUCUCGAAGAGCUUCUUGAGUUUUACCUGAAAAUCAAGAUUAUGAUAUGAAAAACUGUUCUUAGUGCAAAGCAAGAAUUUAAAACUGAUGGAACAUGUUUAAUGAUUAACACGUACCUUCCAUUAAUGUGCCAUAGGCAUGAUAAAACCUGAAGACUGGAUCACUUCCAUACCUCUUAAUUCCUUCACUGGCAACCAGUAAUACAUGAUGGAAAUAUCUCUCUUGACAAUAGUAAUUAAUCAAAGUCUAAAUGGAAAUAAUGAAAAAAUGUUAUAAAGGAAUUCUGGUGCUCUGAAAUACUCUAAGAAGCAGAUAAUAAUCUAACAUCUAGAAUAAUGUAAAAUUCAGGCAAUGUGACUUUUUUCUUCCAAGUUUCUUAAAAUACUAUUAAUGGCUAGAACUCAAUGCUAAGGAUUACAGCAUUACAAAGUAAUGACAAAUUUAAUUCUUCAACAUAUCAUCAAAUGUUAUCUUACUCGGCUUUGAGUUCUGCGACAAAUAAAUUGUCAGUUAAGAAUAAAUAAACUAUUUUUCAAUG